GAAUCAUGGCUCAGGACGAACGCUGGCGGCGCGCCUAACACAUGCAAGUCGAACGGAGAUACUUAAAAGUUUACUUUUGAGUAUCUUAGUGGCGGACGGGUGAGUAACACGUGAGCAACCUGCCCUUCAGUGUGGAAUAACGAUUGGAAACGGUCGCUAAUACCGCAUAACAUCUUGGGACCGCAUGGUUCCGGGAUCAAAGAUUUAUCGCUGAGGGAUGGGCUCGCGGCCGAUUAGCUAGAUGGG
rnacentral:rRNA from 1 species